rnacentral:rRNA from 1 species
AUGCAGUGCAGAGGAGUCAAUCUACUCUUCCUCCCACCGCCGCCGCCGCCGCUCGUCGUUUCAAGAGGCCGCCUCCAACCGCAGCGCAGCAGGAUGAGUGAAGAGGACUCGACGAGCCGGCCAGCUCCGAAGCUCAACGAGAGGAUCCUUUCGUCGCUGUCGAGGAGGGCAGUGGCCGCGCAUCCGUGGCAUGAUCUCGAGAUCGGCCCUGGGGCUCCAGCGGUGUUCAAUGUUGUUGUUGAGAUCACAAAGGGAAGCAAAGUGAAAUAUGAGCUUGACAAGAAAACUGGACUGAUUAAGGUUGAUAGAGUUCUGUACUCAUCAGUUGUAUAUCCUCACAACUAUGGUUUCAUUCCGAGAACACUUUGUGAAGACAACGAUCCAAUGGAUGUGUUGGUCCUGAUGCAGGAGCCUGUUAUUCCUGGUUCUUUCCUCCGAGCUAGAGCAAUUGGCCUUAUGCCCAUGAUUGAUCAGGGCGAAAAGGAUGACAAGAUCAUAGCAGUCUGCGCCGAUGAUCCUGAAUACCGUCACUACAAUGACAUCAGUGAGCUGUCUCCUCACCGCCUCCAAGAGAUCAAGCGCUUCUUUGAAGACUACAAGAAGAAUGAGAACAAGGAGGUGGCUGUCGAUGCGUUCUUACCUGCGACCACUGCCCGCGAGGCCAUUCAGUAUUCGAUGGACCUGUAUGCGCAGUAUAUUCUGCAGAGCUUAAGGCAGUAG